rnacentral:rRNA from 1 species
UACAGAGGGUGCGAGCGUUAAUCGGAAUUACUGGGCGUAAAGCGCGCGUAGGCGGCUUUGCAAGUCGGGUGUGAAAUCCCCAGGCUCAACCUGGGAACUGCAUUCGAGACUGCAUUGCUAGAGUAUGGGAGAGGGCAGUGGAAUUUCCGGUGUAGCGGUGAAAUGCGCAGAUAUCAGGAAGAACACCUAUGGCGAAAGCAGCUCUCUGGGACGGUACUGACGCUGAGGCGCGAAAGCGUGGGGAGCGAACAGG